rnacentral:lncRNA from 1 species
UGUGUCUUCCCAUCUCAUUUAACCCAGUCAGCACAAUUUCCCACAAAACCAGAGGCUCACCUAAUCUAGAUAAUCCCUCCCUCACAGGUAUGCCUGGAGGUGUGUUUCCUGGGUGAUUUCAGAUCCUGUCAGGUUGGCAAUCAACAGAAACCAUCACGUUUACAGACAAAAUUCAGAAACCAAAGCUCAAGAACCAAGUUUCAUGUGCUAAUAUCUCAAGAGCUUCAGAAAGUCUUAUGUACAGAGAAAUCCAGCCCCACAAUGCAAUCAGGAAACGAGUACAGCUAUACAGCAGUUGGACACGCAAGCUGUGAGAAAAUGAUAUCUAUUUUUAUGUGCCUAUUUCAUUACUGUCUAUGGGUCUGAUAAAGUUAAGCUUUUCUGUGUUUUUAAAUGCUGUGAUUGAACCCUGGCAUCAGUAUUAGGACUCUGAUCAGCUUGGCUGCAAGUUCGGGGCCUCUCAGACCCUCCACUCAGGUUUGAAAAUUCGCCAGAAUGACUAAGAGGAGCUCCGAGGGAACUACAUAUGCUACUGCAGUUCUAAAAAUGGACACAUGCCAGGGCAGCCCCUCUCAGGAAGGAAGGCCACAUAACCCCAGGACACUGGAGUGCUCUCCAACUCCGAAGCUCAGGUGAGGAGCCUUAGCAUUCAGAGAUUUUACAGGGAUUUUGGUAGACGGGCACAGGGAAUUAAG